rnacentral:tRNA from 1 species
AGCUUAGAUUUUUUAAUUUGCAAUUAAAAUAAGAUUUAUAUCCUAGGUUA